CCGAUAUCACUCUCGAUAGCCAGUUUGUUUGGUAUUAUAAAAAGACGAAGGAAAACAACGACACAAUCGCACGUGCAAAGUUAACUGAUGUUCACGGCAGAGUUAACUGAAGGGGGUUUCACCAAUUAAUUAUUUAAAAAGGGGGUAAUGUAAAAUAGCCGUCUUUUUUAGGAGGAAACAUAAAAAUCCCCAAAAAUUAAUUAAAAUUAAAGCUGAUUAAAAAAGUUAUCAAAAUAUGUUUGGUAAAAUAUCAAAUUCAUUGUUGUAGCAAAUGAUAAAAACAGACGGAUUAUUUAGUUUUUGGUACUCAGGUUUUGACCCAAACCUGGAUUUCGUCUAACAUUUGUUCAGCCUUUACGUUUGGUUUAAAAACCAACAUUGACCAGCGUUGUCUCAGUUAAAUAUUGACUUCCGUUUGGUAAUUAUUAAUAAAAUUAAAUCAAAUCUAAUUACUACUCUAGUUUACUGUUAUACCCUUUCAGUUUGCCAAAGUCUCUCUAACACCCUAAGAUCAUUUUCCACUUCAUCUUCUUUCGCCACCACAAUUCUGCAACACCCUUGAACCAAAAUUUCAAUUGAAAAAACAUCUCCCUCAGAUCCAAACAAUUUCUCUUCUUCUCUGCAUAAUCCCAUGAACAAAUUUAACCCAAAACCCUAUUGAAGAAGCAGCUACCCAAAUCUUAUCAAUUUCUCUCUAAAUCCAAUCAAUUCUUGUUCCUCUUUGCUUAACCCCGUGAACAGAUUCAACUAAAAACCCAAUCGAAGAAGCAGCUCCCCUAAAACCAAUCAAUCUCUCUAAUUAGAAAACCCCUUUAAUUAUUUCCACCACCAAAAUUACAUUUCCCCCAAUAUUCGUUUCUAACCCUAGCUUACUGCCAUCAAACCCAAACUCAAAAUAUUAAUCAUUCUGUCAAAACAGUAAAAGCAACACCUUCUUCUUCUCCGAAUCCGAUCAAUUACAAGUAAGAAGAGAAAAAACCCUAAAAAUAAAAAGAGUAAUUCAAGGAGAUGGUGAUUAGAAGAUUACAGAAUUAAAGUGUUGUUGUCAUGGAUUCGAUUGAUAUGGGUAUGAAUCUGAUGAGAAUUGAACGAGAAGAGAUCUGGUGCUGAUUCGAGUGAUUCGGUACGGUGAUAAUAAGCUUUAACAGAGAAGAACAUGGAGAAGAUUUGGUUUGCAGUCAGGUGAUCUGUGAAGAACAAUUGGGUGCUGAUGGAGUUUGUGUAGUAGCAGAGAAUUUAGGCUAUGGAUAAUGGAUUGAUGGGUGUUGUGUGUUGACUGAAUUGGUGAACUUGAACUGAAUUGAAGCAAUUUUAGUGGAUAAGCUACCGGUGAUGAUCUGAAUGAGAGUAUUCUGAUGCUGUUGAAACUGAGACAAGAAGACCUAUAAGAUGGUGUUGCAGUUGUGUUGAAGCUGCAGUAUGGAACUGAAGUUGAGAGAUGUAGAAGGUACAGCUGAGUAAUGGGUCUGUUGUGAAGCUGCAGAUGGUUUUGAUGAGAUAACGAUGAGCUGGUGUUGUUGUUGUCACUGGUAUGGAAAUGAUGUUGGUUUGCUGUAGUUGAACUGAAGUAGGCAGUGACUGAGGAUAGAAUUAAAGUUGUUGUGGAAGAAGAUGGUGGACUGGAGCUAGUGGUUUGAGAAGUGGAUACUGUAAUGGGUUGGUUUAAGCGAGAUAGAGGAAGCCUGUUAACUGGUGUUGGCUCUGCUAGGAAUUUGCGGUUGCUGAUAAAAGAAUGAGACUGAAAUUGGUGGUGAUUUGAGUUGCAGUUGUAGUUUGAAUGAUGGUUUGGAUAAAAGUUGCGGACGUACUACGGAGGGGACUAAAGUAGAUUGUAAAUCAGGACCCUUUGAUCCAAGGGUAGACUUGUAAACUCAGAUUAUUUAUUUUACAAAUUUUAUUAAAA